rnacentral:SRP_RNA from 1 species
UUAUAAUUUCUUCGUAUUUUCGUCCCGGGUGGUCUACAGUUGGCGGUGGGUCUUGUGCGAUGCGAGCCUGUGAACCCUGUCAGGUCCGGAAGGAAGCAGCAGUAAGCGGUCACUCGCAUGUGCCGCAAGGGUGCUUGCCCCGACUGUAGUCCAGCCGGGACGAUUUUUUA